CACCCCCACCUCCUUUUACUAAUGCUCCACCAAGAACACCUUUAAAUAAAGCUCCACCUGCACCUCCGCCGCCUUCUUACACUAGUGCUCCAACGGCACCACCCCCACCUCCUCCACCCCCUUUUAGUACAAGUCAGUCUCCAUCGCCUCUUUUUAGUAGAGCUCCACCACCACCACCACCCCUUCCUUCAUCAAGUGGAAGACCACCUCCACCUCCACCUCCUCCAAUGUCUAGAGCCCCUCCACCUCCACCCUUUCCUGGAGCACCUCCACCACCUCCACCACCACCUCCUGGUGGUGGUCGAGGCCCACCCGCUCCCCCUCCUCCUGGCGGUCGAGGCCCACCUCNNNNNNNNNNUCCCCCCCCCCCCCCCCCACCUCCUUUUCCAUAUCCUCCGCCACCCCCACCCCCACCUCCUUUUACUAAUGCUCCACCACCCCCACCCCCACCUCCUUUUACUAAUGCUCCACCAAGAACACCUUUAAAUAAAGCUCCACCUGCACCUCCGCCGCCUUCUUACACUAGUGCUCCAACGGCACCACCCCCACCUCCUCCACCCCCUUUUAGUACAAGUCAGUCUCCAUCGCCUCUUUUUAGUAGAGCUCCACCACCACCACCACCCCUUCCUUCAUCAAGUGGAAGACCACCUCCACCUCCACCUCCUCCAAUGUCUAGAGCCCCUCCACCUCCACCCUUUCCUGGAGCACCUCCACCACCUCCACCACCAC
rnacentral:lncRNA from 1 species